CUUCCCAGCCGAAGCGCCCACCGGUGCCGGGCAUCGAGGCUUACGAAGGCACCUCCGUGUUCUAUGCCGUGCGCAAGAUGGAGCAAUUCCGCGGCAAGGAUCUUUUGAUCGUCGGCGGCGGCGACAGCGCGCUCGACUGGGUUCUGAAUCUUCAGCCGAUCGCCAAGCGCGUCACGCUGCUGCAUCGCCGUGACGAUUUCCGCGCAGCGCCGCACAGUGUCGAUCAGAUGCGCAAGCUCGUUGCCGCUGAAGCUCGGACAGGUGACCUCGCUCGAAGGCGAGAACGGCAUGCUGUCCGGCGCGAUGGUGAAGGGCAACGACAAUGAGAUUUCCAAAGUCGAGUG
rnacentral:misc_RNA from 1 species